UACAACCAUAUCAAGUUUAAUACAUUGCUUCUCGUACGAUCACCGAAGUUAAGCAACGUCGGGCCUGGUCGAUAACUAGAUCGGUGACCGCUUGGAAAUACCAUGU